ACUCCUACGGGAGGCAGCAGUGGGGAAUAUUGCACAAUGGGCGCAAGCCUGAUGCAGCCAUGCCGCGUGUGUGAAGAAGGCCUUCGGGUUGUAAAGCACUUUCAGUCGUGAGGAAGGUAGUAGUAGUUAAUAGCUGCAGUAUUUGACGUUAGCGACAGAAGAAGCACCGGCUAACUCCGUGCCAGCAGCCGCGGUAAUACGGAGGGUGCGAGCGUUAAUCGGAAUUACUGGGCGUAAAGCGCAUGCAGGUGGUUGUUAAGUCAGAUGUGAAAGCCCGGGGCUCAACCUCGGAAUAGCAUUUGAAACUGGCAGACUAGAGUACUGUAGAGGGGGUAGAAUUUCAGGUGUAGCGGUGAAAUGCGUAGAGAUCUGAAGGAAUACCGGUGGCGAAGGCGGCCCCUGGACAGAUACUGACACUCAGAUGCGAAAGCGUGGGAGCAAACAGGAUUAGAUACCCCUGGUAGACUGUCA
rnacentral:rRNA from 1 species